ACUCGCACACUACCAAAAAAGCACCGUCCAUCUGUCAGAUUCAAUAUAAUUUUUGCAGGCGUAAUGAUUAAGUUUUUCGGAGUUUUUCAUUACGGAGAAAAUUUCCAGUGAAAAUCUACAGCAGUAUUCAAACCCGAUCUUGUCCAUCGCAGUCCGGUGUUUAAGAGUUUGACGUUCCGAUUCCCUAAAGAUCAAAGAUAAUAACUGUUGAACGAAAAUUAUGGGUGAUAAAUCAGAAGCUCGCGGUGGUGCCGAAGGCAGAGAGAAAGUCGAAGCACUUGGCGGCCAAUUACACUAUGAAGGAAGCAUAGAAGAUAUCGAUCGACAACUUCAGGCUCUAGAUCAGGAAAGCGAUUCGGAUUCGGAAUCCCUUGAAGAACUUGACGAGUGUGAGAACAUCGAAAUGGUGAAUAGAGGUUCCGGUGCAGAUGAAGGAGAAGAAAACCCAACAGGGCCAGCUCUCGAUGUCACAGUUCGAUACACAAUAUGUCUGUUCUGUAAAAAACCUUUCCAACUGAAGAAAGAACUGAAGAAACAUUUAGUUGCGCACAUGAAAAAUCUCAAACCAAUGAAAGAGAAAAAGAUUGUCGAGAAAAAAUUCAAGUGUCACAAAUGCUUCAAAACUUACACUGAAGCUGCUAGGGCCGAAAAGCACAUGACAAAGUGUAAGAAAGUAUCCAAGCUGUUGCUGGACAUGAGCAACACAACCCCGGAUGGCAAUCGGAUACUGGGCGGUGGCGAAUUAGAAGGCGGUGGUGGAGAUAAGAAGAAAGGUGGUAGAUUCCGCGAACCCACCUCUCCGAGAUCGCUCGUUUUCGAUCCCGAAUCCGAAGCAGACGAACGAUGGGAGCAACGCGAACGGAAUCCAGUAGUGCAUUUCGAUGAAUCGACGCUUGCCCGCGGUGGCAGUACGGACGAAUCGCCGACUUCACCACCGGCUGUUUCGGGAAGCGCUGGUGGGAGCAACAGCGGUGGAGGAUCGUACUAUCAACAAUUCCAGAGGUGUAAGUAACGUGGCAUAUAAUUUACAAUGAGAAUGGAUGCUACGUCAAAAAGAGUUCUCAAGAUGCAUAAAUAUGUUAGCACCGGCAAAAUCAAUCGCCAUCACAGUUUUGAGCUGAAUUUUUACAAGAGAGGAGGGCAAGUGAGAAUUCGACCAUCGAAAAGCUGGAAUCCAUAUCACACCUAUCUGGAGGCAUAUUCUGCAUUAUUUUUUUUACAGGUGCAGAAUCUGGACACUUUCCGUGCGAAGUAAAAUAUCCAUCUAUGUGAAUAUUCCUCACUUUAAUCUGUAGAUGAUCGAUUGCGCAUGCUUCAUGCAACUCUCCACAAGACACUCAAGAAUGUUUUCCGUGAUAAACCACCCACAAAAUUCCCCCAAUACGCCUUUUUCUUCCCCUUUAUCAAUUUUUUUAACUAAUUUUCAAGGGAAACAUAUGUUUCGAAAAGGACGAAAGUUCCAUGUUUUCGAAAAUCUUUAAUUGCUUUUGAUUUAUCCUUACAAAGCGUGGAACACUGCUGGUCCCACCAAGGAUUAGGGGGCCUUCUAGGAACAGAUGAAUCUGGGAUAGGUUUUGUUUGAGCACAAAGUGCAUUUUCAUGUAUCAAAUGUGAAAGAAAGUGGUACUCUUGUAAAGGAGGUAAAACAUGCAUAGAAUCGAUGGCUGUUAUUAUUUCGUCCGAGUACUUUCUCCAGUAGAUGUGUCUUGUAAGGUCAUAUGUCAUAUUUAUUGUGUUUGAAGAGCUAUAUUCUAUAUGAAACUGCCAAAUUUUCAUAACUUUUUUUGUUGGUAUGCAAGCAUGCUGUAUACAUACACGGAGCUUUCAAGUGAGGUUAAGCGCAAUGGCCUCUGUUAUUUUCCAUGUACUGAUGGCAUAUGUCAAAAUGUAUCUAUUUUGCUUAGGUCAUAUAUAGCUCGUUCUGCUCGAAAAUAAUCGAUAUUUAUGAAUUUCACCAAAUAAGUUUCAGCAGUCACUCUUGUUUUCUAUAUACUCAGUGUACAUGAUUGGUAUUCUUCAACUGUAAAACAGUUAAUAGGUACAUAUAAAUACCAAAUCUAAUAGAAAUCUUGAAACAUUUAGGUCAACACUAACACGAUGAAUAUGAAGCUCUAUUUAUAUAUCGAACUAAUUCAAAUAGCUAACUAAUAGACUAGAGCUUCUUGCUACAUUGUACACUUUAGUUUUGAGUGUGGGUUUUUAAGAAAGCUAACCGUGCAACAUAAUCUCUCACAGAGCAAUGUUGCCUUGUUACUGUAUGUGUGUCUAUUAGCUGUAGUUAUACAUACAUAUAUUGUGAAGUGAAAUGAAAAAAGUAUAACAAAUAUGCAGUUUUAAUGGAAAUAGCGGUUAACAGGAAGUUAUGUGAAAGUAAUAACUGAACGUAUAAACAAACCAUCAGAAGACGUUUUACAUCUUAAUCUGUUUAGAUGAGAUACAUAUACUUUCAAAAUAUAUACAAAAUAAAACUGGAAUGUGAGCUUGGAUUCUGGGGUGAAAAGUGUAGGGAUAAUAUAACUGGUAUGCCUGAUUCUGGAAUAGAGUGUGAAUGUUUAAGUGUUUUAGAAAAAUAUUUGCAACAAUUGGUACUACAUUUUUCAAGAUCCUAGUCCUUUUCCGGUAUUAUCGAUCAAGGGGUAGGUUCAGUUAAUCUUUAUAUUUUUUUUUUCAUAAGUUUGAAUUCCUAAAGUUCCAUACGAAAGCUAUGGAGUUAGUUAUCAAAAGUAAAAGCAGUAUCAUAAAUAAAAUAGUAAGAAAAUAGCUUCAUGUUCAUAGAAUGCUAUGGCGAGAAUAGAACCUACACAUUUCCAUCCUCUGAUUGUUAUCGACUCAAAAUCUACGUGUAAGAGAGAACUGAAUUAUAACUCUGAGCUGAAUAAAAAUAAAUAAAUAAAAUUAAAUCGUUGAUACGACUAUAACACUGAAUAUUUUGGCGCGGAAAUUUAUAUCUUGCAUCACUACCAAAUUUAUGUAUGUUUCUUUUUUCUCGAAUGUAUUUGAAAACAAUAAAAAAAAUAAACUAUGCAGUUCC